rnacentral:rRNA from 1 species
UAGCCUUGACAUGCAUUGGACCGGCGCUGAAAGGCGCUUUUCCCGCAAGGGACCGGUGCACAGGUGCUGCAUGGCUGUCGUCAGCUCGUGUCGUGAGAUGUUGCGUUAAGUCGCGCAACGAGCGCAACCCCUGUCCUUAGUUGCCAUCAUUCAGUUGGGCACUCUAGGGAGACAAACCCUCUUUGAGGGUGGGAAGGUGGGGAUGACGUCAAGUCAGGAUGGCCUUUAUGGCUAGGGCUGCACACGUGCUACAAUGCCCGGUACAGAGGGAAGCAAUACCGCGAGGUGGAGCAAAUCCUCAAAACCGGGCCCAGUUCAGAUUGCAGUCUGCAACUCGACUGCAUGAAGUUGGAAUCGCUAGUAAUGGCGUAUCAGCUACGACGCCGUGAAUACGUUCCCGGGCC